UUGAUUUUUCAGUCUUUGAUUUUUCAGUUUUUAAUUUUUCAGUCUUUGAAUUUUUGGUCUCUGAUUUUUGGGUCUUUGAUUUUUAGGUUUUUGAUUUUUGGGUUUUGGAUUUUUCAGUCUUUGACUUUUUGGUUUUUGAUUUUUGGAUCUUUGAUUUUUCGGUCUUUGAUUUUUCAGUUUUUGAUUUUUCAGUCUUUGAUUUUUCAGUCUUUGAUUUUUUGGUCUUUGAUUUUUGGGUUUUUGAUUUUUCGGUCUUUGAUUUUUGGGUCUUUCAUUUUUGGGUCUUUCAUUUUUGGGUCUUUGAUUUUUGGGUCUUUGAUUUUUCAGUCUUUGAUUUUUCAGUCUUUGACUUUUUGGUCUUUGAUUUUUGGGUUUUUGAUUUUUCGGUCUUUGAUUUUUGGGUCUUUGAUUUUUGGGUUUUCAAUUUUUCAGUCUUUGAUUUUUUGGUCUUUCAUUUUCCAGUCUUUGAUUUUUUGGUCUUUGAUUUUUGGGUUUUUGAUUUUUCGGUCUUUGAUUUUUGGGUCUUUGAUUUUUGGAUCUUUGAUUUUUAGGUUUUUGAUUUUUUUAGUCUUCGAUUUUUCAGUCUUUGACUUUUUGUCUUUGACUUUUUGGAUCUUUGAUUUUUGGGGUUCAGCGGACUUGACCGUUUUUUGUUAUGAGACAUGUUGCCGGAACACCAAGUUAGCCAACGGGAUAGAGACGAAUGGCUCCCCGAAACAUUAUGGGCUACGCCCUUUCCUUCACGGAGCCAAGCCGUGCGCUUUCUCUAGUCUUUUCCAAGCGGUUAUCUGGGGCCCGAGAUUUUUAGUGCUCCGCACCACGAUAGUGCUUUGCGAAUUUCUAGGAGCGCACACUUUUCUUAUGCCCCUGCACAUGUCCGUAUAGUGCUCCGUUAUUUUCUAACACGCUUUAUUAAGGCCCAUGCAUAUAUACUUUCUAGUGAGUAGUGACCUGCACUUUUCCAUGGUUACACGUUAUUCCGAGGACCAGUCCACUCUUUUUUGGGUCUCAUCGACGGACCGCGCUUUUUUAUAUCGGGGCCAUGUUCUAUCCACCGCUUUUAUGCCGAAUAGAAGGUUAAUUUGCGCAUCACUAUUGAAUUUAAAGCCAGUCCGCAUGGAGAGCUUUCUUUCGACUUGCUUCCUCUUGCCAAGCGAAAUGUGAAAAUUCUGAGGAUAUUCAUUAUCAGUCACUGUUAAUCAUUAUUGACAAAUAGUAUACUAUACAUACACUGGCAUACCAAAAAUGAAUAAUGUUUUACUCAGGGCCAUAACUACUGGAGGGAGGGG